ensembl:lncRNA
AUGGAAUUAAACGGCACUGCUAUGCUGCUGCACAGAGAGCUUUGCGUUCCUCCAGUUUGGUUGCAGGUUGAAGAGGCUGCUGUGGUGUGCAUUUAAUGUGCUGCAAAGCUGUGCUGUCAACCACCAGCAGCAAGUAAGCACAGCUCCGUGCCUGGGGGUUGUCCCGAGAGCUGAACCACCACCCGUUAACUUAACAGCACCCCGGUGGGCGCUGUGUUGUGGUCGUAAGUGCUGUUCUGGUGGCUGAGGAGAUGGGUGGGGGAUGUUCAGCUGUUCAGAUAAUGAGCUGGUGGCUGAGUCCAGUGAAGCUGUGCCCUCGGGGCUGCCUGACUUCACUUUGUGAAGUGUCAGUGAGGUGGUAGAUACGCUGGUAUGACUGAGGAGCUGCUGUGCCGACACUGAAGUUCUGUUAGGUGCACUGCAGCUGGCUGUGGUUGAGAGUUCCAGCCUAGGCUCGCAGUCCUGGGGCCAUUAUGAGUGGUGCUGAUAUUUUUACAACCUGUCCUGUGAGUUCUGUUAUAGUUUCAAUAACGACUUUAGCACAUAGCCUGCUGGGAGCAUUGCUACCUGUAGUGAUAGCUGCUGGCUUUGUCUUAAGGCAGAUAAGGUCUUGAAAAUUUUAGAGCAAAUUCUAUUACAUUUUUUUUAAUCAUUUUUAAUACUUUAGUAAUCAAGCUGGUAAAUCUUGAAAAGCAUAUAUAACCACUUUGUCAGAGCAUGGUAAAUUUCACAGCUGCUCUUGUCCCACUGGCUGCUUUCAACAGGAGCUCUUUGCGGUGACUCCUCCAGGCCUGUCCACGUUCACCUUGGGUGAAUGUGCACUUUGAAGCCAGGUAUGGAUGGCUGAUUUUCUAACCUUGCAUCACUCCUUCUCUGUGUGUGGAAGUGCAUCUCAUGGUUGCUCAGAUGCUUUCAGCAAGAACGCAGUUGGUAAGCUUUCAUCCCAGGGCUCUGAAGGACUGAGGCUGUUGGUGUGCAUCCUGACGUGUCCCAGCACAGGGUCAGUCACCGCUGCAGUUCUCAGGCGUUCCUUCUGGAUUGGAUUUGUGGGAUGCAGUUUCAUAGGUGAUGGUUGUCUGAAAUGUUUAGAAGGAAGAAUUUCUGUGGCCGAAGGGGAAUUUGAUUUCCAGCUGAGACUGGAAUGUUCUAACCUGGUAGAAUCCCUCCUUGUGUAUGCCACUUAUCCCACUGCAAGAUUGCACGGAAUCAAGUAUAUUUGAAGCAGCAGAGGGUCAUCUUUCAGUGGGUACAUGCAUUUUACAUUUAUAUAUUCUGCAGUUUUGUUUUUCUGUGAUACUGUUUGCUAUAGUGAUAUUAAAGCAGGCUGAACGUGGGCAUUUAAAGCAGUGUAAUCAUAUCCGUUGACUUUGCUUUCUGAAACGGUUGGAUCCUGUAGUGACUCUCAAGCCUGGUGCACGUUAGUGUUCAUCGUGGCAGGGAUUUCCUUCCCACUAUGAGAUUGUUUUGUUAUGUCACCGUGCUCCCAAAAUCUGCCUCUUCCUUUUGAACAAACCAAAAAAAAAAUCACUGAGUACCUCUAUGAACCCCUGCAAAACCUGUACUGUAACGAACCUGUACGAUUUGUAUCGCUGUACAAAACUCCAAUAAAAGCAUUCAAACC